rfam:Onchocerca ochengi, WGS project CAWC01000000 data, contig: 02085_3268
AUCAAAUUAAUUUUAGGUCCCAAAAACGUAUUUGGGAAUGCUAGUCGGUUCGGUUUGUGCAUUAAUGGGAGUGUUAACAAUUGCACUUCCAGUUCCAGUCAUCGUUUCCAAU